rnacentral:tRNA from 2 species
GAGGGUAUAGCUCAGUGGUAGAGUGCCUGCUUAGCAUGCAUGAGGUCCUGGGUUCAAUCCCCAGUACCUUCA